GAAAUGCGAUAAGUAGUGUGAAUUGCAGAAUUCAGUGAAUCAUCGAAUCUUUGAACGCACAUUGCGCCCCUUGGUAUUCCAUGGGGCAUGCCUGUUCGAGCGUCAUUUGUACCUUCAAGCUUUGCUUGGUGUUGGGUGUUUGUCUCGCCUCUGCGUGUAGACUCGCCUCAAAACAAUUGGCAGCCGGCGUAUUGAUUUCGGAGCGCAGUACAUCUCGCUCUUUGCACUCAUAACGACGACGUCCAAAAGUACAUUUUUACACUCUUGACCUCGGAUCAGGUAGGGAUACCCGCUGAACUUAAGC
rnacentral:misc_RNA from 1 species